rnacentral:lncRNA from 1 species
GCCAUUUUUCGGAUGUCAAGGCCACUUGAUUGACUUUGACUCACUUUUUUACUCACGACUGAACAAAUUUUUUUUUAGGGGAAAAAGUUCCAAACAACCCAUUUCGAAGAGAUUUAGGGUUCGGGGGUUGGUUAUAUUUAGGGAAGGUGUUAGCACCCUAAAUAUUCGUAGUACUCUACGAGAACCUCUUGAUUUUAUUUAACUUCUUGUGCUAUAACUUGCUUGCUUUUGAAAAGAUGAAAAUGGAAUUGGAUGAUGAGUUGAAAAGGAAAAGAAAAUUGACUUUAAUUGAAGAGAAAAAAGGAAAAUGUUUUUUAAUUGAUUUGGAAGGACAAGGUCCUCUGCCUACGUACCCGUGAGGGAACAAAACCUCGUAGUUCGGGGUAGAAAUUGACGUUUGAUUGGUUGAGUGUUUUUUAUUAGAUUUUGAAAAAAGGUUUUGAAAAUAAAAAGCCAAGUGGCAAAUGAGAAUUGAUUUGUGUUUUUUUAGAUUGAAGAAAAUUGACUUGAAGUUGAAUUAGAAUUGAUUGGAAAUUUGAUUAAGAAAAAUAAAAUAAGAAGACGGUCACUUGAUUUAAGAUCAAGGUUUAUUGUGAAAAGUUCUUUUUAUGAAUUUUUGAUAUUUGAAUGUUUUUGUUGUUUUUGAAUAAAAAUAUGAACAUUAUAUAAGCAGAAUGAGAAAAAUGAAGUUAAGCUAAAUUGUGAAAUUAUUUUAACAUGGACCAGAAUAUUCUGGAGAGUAAUUAAGUUAAACAAAAAUAAAUAAAUAUUAACAUUUAAGUUUGGACCAGAGCACUCUGGAUUAACAAAAAUAUAAUAUUAAUAGUUACUUUAGGACCAGAGCACUCUGGAUUAAUUUAAUUAACAAUGACCAGAGCACUCUGGAGAAUAAUUAAAUUAAACAAAAAUAUAAUAUUAAUAGUUAAUAUAGGACCAGAACACUCUGGAUUAAUUUAAUUAACAAGGACCAGAUUGUUCUGGAGAAUAACUAAAUUGAACAAGAAUAUAAUAUUAACAUGUAAUUAGGACCAGAGCACUCUGGAUUAAUAGAGAGAAAAAUAAAAAUGCAUGAAAAAGAAAUUAAAAGUGCGGGGGACCAGAGCACUCUGGAUUAAUAGAGAGAAAAUUAAAAAAUGCAUGAAAAGGAAAUUAAAAAAAAUGAGAUGCUGGGGUUAAGCAAGGAAUAAAAGGGGGUGCAGGAAAUAGAAAAGAGAAUUGGGCUUUAAGAAAUCUGAACCGGGUCGGUUCUACGGGUCGGUCCAUGGGUUGAACCAGUGAACAUGUAUAUAAGGGUUGUGGGUCACAAAAAUUGCCAUUUUUCAUUGUUUUUCUCUCUCUUCUCUUAUUUCUAGAGAGAGAAGCUCUGCCUUCUCUCUAGAACUUCUUCAUCUUCUCCGAUGGAGAGAUGGUGGCCGGAGGCGGUUCCGGCGCGGUGGCCGGCGAGUUUUCGCGGCGGCGCCACCGCGCCGGAGUUAAAAAUGUCUCCUUUUUUUAUUUUUUUUCGUCCUCUCUCCUUCUUUUCUCUCCCUCUUUCCGAUUUUGCAUACAAAAAUUCCAAACAAAAGUUAAAACGUCCUAGAUCUAAAAGGAAAGAAAAUACUACUUUCUUUUCUUUUUGAACGGAUUUGUUUGUGACGGUUCGUUGUUUAUUGUUGUGAGAACAGUUUGUGUUCUUGUGACGUGUAUAUGGUGCGGUUUGGUUAUUAGAUCUGUGAGUUAGGGUUAUGAUUUAUGUUCUUUUGGUGUAUUUUCGGCCUGCUUGGGUUGGCUAGAAAACUGUUUUCUCUUUGUGUUUCUGCAAGUUGGAAGAUUGUUCUUUCCUUUUCGUGUGUGUGGGGCCGAGUCCCUUUGUUUCUUGUUUGUGUGUUGUAUUUAUAGAACUGGAUGGGAGACAUGGAACCUGUUAAAGGACAGACAGGAACUGCCUUGGCUUGGGAUUAAGGGGACAUGAAUGAGCUGGCCACAGCUGGGGAUUGGAACAAAAGAGAUCUAAUAUUUUCGGACAUAAAAAAAGAAAAUAAAGAAAAAUAGAAAGACUAAAAAAUAAAAAACUAAAUGAGUUAACUAAAUUAAAAGGAACUUAAAUAAAAGAUGGAAACUAAAAAUAAAUAAAAAAUGAAAAUUGAGAGAAGAGGGCCCGACUCGGAAUCAACUAUGAGGUAUUUUAAAAUACCUCCCUGCCGAAUUUUUGUUCGAAAGGCUGAGACCGGUCGUAACUAAAUGACAUGUGUCAGUGCUGUCUUAGGUCAAAAAUUGGAGUAUGACAAUACUUAAACACAAUUGUAACUGAAAGUUUAUUGCCACAUAUUUUAAAGAUUAAAAAUGGUACUCCAUUGAUGUUGUUGCGAAAUAGACACCCGAAAUAUGGUUUAUGAAUUGGAACAAGGUUUCAAUGUCAUGGUUUUUUUAAAAAUUUAUUGGACGUCGAAUACUAACAGGCAACAACACUUAAAAAGAGCUUUAGUUGCCCAUAAUUAAGUUUAAAACCACUAAAGGUGCAAGGCUUUCUUUUGUGCUAAGUAGCAAAAAUUUAUUGUCAAACUAUGUUUUGAAAUCACUAUAAGCAAAUAACAAGGGAAAACUAUUCCAAAGUUGGAAUUUUUCUCCCAUGACAUAUUUUGAGCCAUGGUCAGUUGUAUAUUGCUUUAUCAAUAGGUGUUUCUCAAUCCACAACAAGAGUGUUGAUUAAGGAUGGAAGACUAUAAGGGGAAGACGGAGAUAGGAAUACCAUGAUAUGUAGAGUGUUUCGUUGGGUACUCUAACCACACAAAAGUAUUUAUCUGGAACUCACAUACACAUUUACAUCAUCAUAAAUACAAAUUACUAAGCUGAUUACACCUUUUUCAGUUUAACAAUAAAUAUUAUUGUCUUAUUUUACAUUCAUAUACAAGAAAAUUAGAACAAAGUGAUAACUUACAGCUCUGCAAGCUGUUGAAAAGAAAGCAUCUUAAUGCAUACUUUGAUUAAAAAAAAAAAAGGUAUGUUACACUUACAUAUUUAAUUUAAAUUUUACUUGUUAACAACUAUAAUAAUUUUGUCCAAAAAAAAAAAAAACUAUAAUAAUAAUCAAUAUCAUGUUUCAAAACUUUCAAAAAAUAAAGGAGGGGGAGUUUUAGAAAAAAUGGAACAUAUGGAAGGAUGAGCAUACACUUUCUUCUAUGUGCAACAUUGAUGACAAGGUAGCUGAUUUAGUAUCAAGAACCCUAAUUUCCAAUGACGUACAACAUCAUUACCAUUUCACUAAUACUUGUUUUUUUUUUAAACAACAAAUUCAUCGUCUGGAUGUUUACUCGCUUGGAUGGGGUUCAAGAAUAAUAAUAGAUAAAACACAAUUGUGGAAUAUUGUGAAAAGGAAAAUAUUGGCUCAAAUCCCUAAAAAAAUAAAAUAUUGAUUCAAAGAAAAAAUAGGUAUUUGUUGCAUUAGUUUAGAAAAAUCAUAUGUACUAAAUAUAAUAUGUGUCCCUUAUUCAUCUUUGAGACAUGAUCACUAGUUACUCUCAUUUGUAAAAUAAAAAUAAAUUGUGUUAACUAUAUUAUUUAUCUUAGGAAUAUGCACACUCCAAUAACAAUAGACGACUAUCAAGCUACGACGUCUAAGUGAAAGCAAGAUACCUCUCUUGAUCAGGAUUUUAUGUUUUAUGUCUUAAGCUUUGUACAUUGUCUUGCAUAUAUUAUAUUUGCAUAUGACAUUCUAUAAUUAAUUUUUAGUUUUUCGAAAGACAAGGAAUCAGUGAUUAAGAUAGGUAUGAAGAAUUAGCUGCAAUUUUUAAACGGUAAUUAACUAUAUUAUUUUAAAUGAUAUUUUAUAGCUUUUUUUUUUUUUUAUACAAUUUAGUUUUUUCGAUUAACAACUAAUAAAACUCAUAAAAUAAAAUGCGGGAAAAUAAGAAUUUUUUUUGGUUCUGAUUACAUGUUUUGCAUUCCCACAAGCACCACCAAUGAUGACAAAAAUACAAUACUAAUAUUAACAUUUUAAGUUGUUGAAUAUUAUUUGAAAUAGAGUUUUUCUCUAAUCUCUGUUUAUAUUAUCAAUGUUUAAAUUAGUAAUUGUACUAACCCAAUAACUGAAAUUAAGUUAUACAAAGAAGAAACAUAGAGUAUAUAUAUGUUAGCACAAUACUCAAACAAAAAAGGAUGGAAAGAAGGGAAACAAUAUAUCUCUAUUCAUCAAAUUUUUAGUUCUUAUAUUUAUAUAUGACAUAUUAUAUAUUAAUUUAUAUAAAGAAACAUAAUCAAAUAUAUACAUAUUUUAGCGCAGUAGAAAAAGCAGAUAGACGAGCACGUAGACGCUAGUAGCAAAUUAUGGGAAAUUAAAUUUUUACCAUUUGUAAAAGAAUGCAUGGGCUGUGAUAGUAAUUACGAAACUUCAUCUCACUAGUGUCGUGUACGAACUUACUACUAUCUAGAAUUAUGUAAAAGAAUUUUUUUUGGAACUGUUUCGGUAAAGAAAGUUAUCUUAUAAAAUGGCUACACGAAACAAAAGUUUUGGAUUUAUUAUUAGUUAGAGAUUAGAGAUGAUAGAUAUAGAUUAGAUCGGUAUAAUCAUCUACGACAUUCAUGUACUCACCAAUGCUGAGCUUUAUUCUCAUAUUGUUGCCAAAUUAGAGAAUCAAUAAAAAAAUGAUUAGAAAUAAAGCCCAAAAUGAAUCAAUAAUAAUAAUAAUAAUAAGAAUGAAGUGAUGUAAAUGUAAAUGACAAACCUCUUGUUGAAACUGCAAAGUUUGAGUGAGAGACUGAGACUAUUAAUUGACAAUUGAUAUGUGAUGUUGUUAGUACCUGCGUGCAGCGGUGAAGUUAGAGUAAAUGUGACGAGUGAGUCGACUACUAGAAAAAUCAAAAUUAGUGAAGGAAAUUAUGAAAUUUCUCACAAAUUCCUUGGUCGCAAAAUUUAGUGACGGAAUUAGAGAGGGAUUUCAUGUUUUCCCUCACUAAAUAUCCCUCACUAAUUUUUGUUUUUUUAGUAGUCAAGGGAUAAUUUUCUACUAUUGUGAAUGCUCUAAACAAUUAUAUUUCUUUAUAGCUAUUGAAGAGAAUAUUUUUUUGAAAGAAUAACUAUUGAAGAGAUUGAAAGUAUUAAAAUAAAACGAAUAAAUUUAUCGAUCAAGGGAUAAUUUGCUAACUUUUUUUAUUUUCUUACUUUUUGGUAAAUAGAUUUGUUUGAGGUAAUAUAUUAUUGGGGUAUCUUAAAAUAAAAUGUAUUAAAAUCAUUCAAGAUAAAUAAUAUUUGUUUGAGGUUCUGCUUGCGUGGUAACUGCAAGGGAAAAUAUUGUUAGAUUAAUAUAAGUUAUUCGUCAUUUUUUAUCUAUUAAUUAAGGAUUAAGGAUGAUCUAAGUUACUUACCACCAUAAUCUGCUAACUAAGGAUGUUCUUUAUCAAUUGGAGACUAAAAGAAGGAAAAAAGAAAGGAAAGAAAAAACAAAGAAAUGAGAGUACGUUUAUGAAGUAAACAAAAAGAUAAAAUAAAAAUGUCGGAUAGAAACUAUCCAUUGUUGUAGACUAGUUUGUUUAAGAACAACAUACACAUUCUCGUGAACUUAGAACAGUUAGCAGGAACAUUAGCGGGGGUCAGGAUUUAAAACCCAACUUACACUUAUACAAUAAUGAUCCUAUUUUCAAUGGUUUAAAUUAGACAUUAUUCGUGAUUAAAACUAAAAAAUAACAAAAUAUUUCAGAAUAAAACGAAAAAAAUUAACCAAUCUAUUUAUGUAUCUCUAUAUGAUGGAAAUUGUUUUCAGCAAUCCAGUUGCUUUGUUGGUGUAUGUUAAUUACUUAUAGAUUAAAAUAUGGACAAUAAUAAGAAGAAAAAAUAGAAUAAAGACAUCUAAUUACUAUUGUAAGAAGUAAGGAAUGAUUUACCGUAAGUGAGCAACGUCAUUCCAUGAACAAAGUUUCUAUUUGAGCGUGUAAUGAAUUAAUGGAGAAAUUAAAAAUAGGGAAAUGCUUUUUCUCCCGAGAGAAUGUCAAGCGAAUCGACCACGACAAUAGCUGGUUAGUUUUGAUUGGUAGUUUAUUCCUUGAUUUUCUUUUUUUCAGCAAACACCUCUUUGUAUUCAGCCAAACUGCAAACUGUGAUUGAUUAGUUUUGAUUUGGGAAGCUUUUGCUAUGUUUUCUUUCCCACUAUAUGGCAUCGCUCUUAACAAUAUAUCAAUGGAAAGAGUAGCUAUUAAUGGAAAAUUGGUAAAUUAAUAGUUAUAUAUAUAUAUGUAGCAAUUGUGUGUUUGUGAAAAGUAAGUAACCGUAACUAAAGUUAUUCAACGUGUGUGUGGUGAGCAGUUAACAAUGUGGAAAUUAAAACUGAAAAAAAAAAACUAAAAAAAGUGGAAAACAAAACUGCAUAGGGCAUUUUCAUAUUAGAAAAAAAACUAUACCAAAACAAAAGUUGUGUCUUUAUUAUUAGUUAGAUCUUAGAGGAUAAUAGUUAUAGAUUAAAGUAAUGCUAACAACUUAUCCUAGGAGCAUAUCCCAGUUCGUUGGAUAAUGCAUUAUUAUAUGCAGGGGUCGGGGUUCGAAACUCGGACAUCCAACUUAUUCACCUUAUAAGGUGAAUUCUUGCCACUAGACUAGCUGACAACAAAAAAAGUAAUACUAACAACACUCUCUUUUGACCACACAAUAAGAGGGUGAGUAUAAUAGAGAAUGUUGAAAAGUGAGUGUUGUUAGCAUUCCUCUUCAGUCAUUUUUAUAAGUGAAAACUAACUAACUUUAAAAUUUGAGUUUUAUUUAUAGAUAGCAUUGACCAGGUGUAGUUAUGAAUAACAACAAAAAAAUAAAGGUGAGGCCUAGGUUGCCUUUGAAAACUCAUGGGCAAUUUACCUAAACCAAUCAAAAGUUUCCAUGUGUACUCCAUUAGAAUAAUAACAUUUAUUAUUUUAUUUUGCAAAAAUUUAGCAAGUAUUUUAUUAUUUGCAUAUUCACCCUAUCUUAAAUUAAUGAUUUUUUACAAUUUAAACCAUCACAAUAAUUAAAUUUCACCUCUAAUUCAAUCACUCUCCAAACCUCUUUUUUAGCUUGGCAAAAAUCAUUAAAAAUUAAAAUUAUCACCCCUGGGAAUCAAACCUGGGUGCUCCCACCUAUUUAAAAUGUACUCUGGAACCACUUGAUCAAUACAUUUUUUAUGAAAUAAUUUGGAAUUCAAAAUUAUGUUAUUAGUGAGCAAAUUAUUUUAUUUUUAUUUGCAGUGCCUUUAUAACCUAGCUUUAGUGAAAAAAAAAAUCAUUUUAUGUGUGUAUAAUUAUGAAGUAGUAAAUUUUUCUUAAGAAAAAUGAAUUCAUUCAAUUGAUUUUUUAUAUUUUAAAUUUCAUUCUUUUUUAUAAAUUCAUACUUUUAUAUAGAUUCGAUGACCUACGACAAUGUUUCAUUUGUGAUCCACCGAAUUAUGAUUUAUUUUAGGUACUAUUUUUCAUUUGGAUCAGAUAAAUUGUUUAAAGGUAAUAAUUUUUUUUUUGCAAGGUCUUAUAAGUUAUAACCUAGCUUUAGUAAAAAAAAUCAUUUUAUAUGUGUAUAUUUAUGAAAUAGUAAAUCUUUCUUAAAAAAAAUGAAUUCAUUCAAUUGAGUUUUUAUAUUUUAAAUAUCAUUCUUUUAUAUAAAUUUAUAAUUUUAUAUAGAUUCGAUGAACUACAACAUUGUUUCAUUUGUGAUCAAACGAAUUAUGAUUUAUUUUAGGUACUAUCUUUCAUUUUGAUCAGAUAAAUUGUUCAAAGGUAUUAAUUUAUUUUUUUUUUGCAGUGUCUUAUAAGUUAUAACCCAGCUUUAGUAUAAAAAAAAUAAAUCAUUUUAUAUGUGUAUAUUUAUGAAAUAGUAAAUAUUUCUUAAAAAAAAAAAAAUGAAUUCAUUCAAUUGAUUUUUUUUAUAUUUUAAAUAUCAUCCUUUUAUAUAAAUUCAUACUUUUAUAUAGAUUCGAUGACUGAUGGGAUAAAACCGCAAGUGCACGGUUCUACCAGAAUUCAGGGCAUUACAAACGCAACAUGUGGCAUAAAAAUAUUACUUUAUAUGUAUAUACUAUUGAUUUUACUGUUCAUUUAAAAUAUUUUAUUUGCUUAAUUGCACUUUUGGACCCCUAUCUUUUCAAAAGUUGCGGUUAUGGAUCCCUAACUAAUUUAAAUACAAAACAGUCCCCUAUGUUUUGAUUCUUUAGCAGUUUUGGACCCCCAAGGCAAAAAAAAAAAAAAAAAUUGACAAGUGGCACCUCACUUAGGGUGCCAUGUCAGCGUUGACCGAGUCAACAAUGAAUUGGGGUCCAAAAUUGGCAAAAAAUCAGAACAUAGGGGGUUGUUUUGUAUUUAAAUUAGUUAGGGGUCCAUAACCGCAACUUUUGGAAAGAUAGGGGUCUAAAAGUGCAAUUAAGCCUAUUUUAUUUACUAUUUUAUCCUUUAAUAAUAUUAUAUUAAAUUUGAAUUAGAAAAAUGAAAUCUCAUUAAAAUAGGAAAUAUACCACUACAACAGGAACAAUACUAUAUAUACUUUUUUUUUUUUUUUUUUACAAAAUACUAUACAUACUAUAUAUGAAGGGAAUAGAGACUUUGGGCUGAAUUUUUUAUAAUUUCAAUUAUACCCUUUAAACAAAUUUUCCUAUAUUAAUGUUACAUUUUUGGUGGUAUUAAAAAAAGAUAAGAAUUUAUAUUAUAUUUGUUAAACUACUGUGUUGUUGUGGUAAAAAAUAAACAUGAUUUUUUUGGGUUUGUUACAAUUUUAAUUUCACAAAUAUUUGUACUUAUAAUUUUAAUCAAAAUCAAAAUUUCAUAUAAAAUACCGUUCAUAAUUUACACAUGUCACGUGCCCGUUUUUUCGCUAGUUAUAUAUAGUAUUUAUACUAUAUAUAAAGAAAACUAUCUCUUUCAGCACUUUUGGGCAGGAUUUUUCUUUCCAAAAAUACCCUUAAUUUUUAAUACAAACAACACAUGUAACAAAUAAAUAAGAAUAAAUUUAAAUAUUAAAACAAAUGUAACAAACACGAUAUGUGUGUUUGGUUUUUUUCCUUUAUCAUUUAAAAAGUGUAACAAACUAUAUGAGUAUAUUUAAUAUUUGCUUUUUUUAUUAUCCCAAUUAUACCAUUAAAACAAAAUCCAUAAUCAUCAAUCAACAACAAGAAGAUCCAACAUUUUAAAAAAUAAAUAGAUAAAUUUAAAGGAAUUUUUUUAAGAUUCUUAUGUUGUUACAUAAUAUUUGGACAAGAUUCUAAUUCUCAUUAAUCUUUUCUCCCACGUCAAGAAUAUCUCUUUGCUUCUUCUGAUUCAUAUUCAUUCAUUCCUUAUUAUUCUAAUUUUUAACUCAAUUCAUCUUCCUAUAGAUUUGCAUCGUUUUUGCUGAACCAAGAAGGACUGUUAAGUAGAAGAAUUCCAGAAUCAUAGAUGUAAUCACAAUAGUUCUCAAUGACAAUGCUUAAAAAAAAAUUGAUUUUUUUCCCAAUCUAUCUCUCUCAAUCCCGAUCUACUCUCUAUCCCCUUAAACCCUUUUUUCCUAAACUAUUCCUUACCUCUCAUGCUCUCUCUUCUCCAUCGGAUACCAUUUCCCAUUCUAUCAUCUUCAUUGCAUUCUCCUCUUUCUCUUUCAUUUUUGACUUCUCAAUAAAAAAUCAAUCCCAGCUUCAAUUUUUUAUUGUCGAAUUCGAAUUCGAAUUUGGGGUGCGUGGGUUCGAUUGAGAGAGAGAGGGAUCGAGAUGAUGGAUAUAUAGACAACGGUGUUGAUGGUGGUUUUGAAAAAGAGGUUUUGAUGGUGGUUAUCUGGAUUUUCUCUGGAUUUUUUUUUAUGAAGGUGAUGAAUGAGGGAAAGAAAGAAGAUGAAGUAUGGGAUAUAAUGCUAGAUGUUGUUGGUUCACAGUAAGAUACAGUGGACAUGCAUGAUCUAACAAUCUUUCUUUAUUAAAAAAGAUCAAACGGUUUAUAUUAAAAAAAAUAAUAGGAUCUAUAGUGGACCAGGGGGUUCACCAUAGAUAUUUGAGGUUAAAGUUAAUUUAUUUGCAAACUGUGGGAAAAGUGAAGGACUAAAACGUGAGUUUUAUUAAUUGUGAGACCAAAAUAAAACCAAAGAAUUAAAUAAGCCUUUUUUUUUACUAAAGCUAAGUUAUAACUUAUAAGACAUUGCAAAAAAAAAAUUAAUACCUUUAAACAAUUUAUCUGAUCCAAAUGAAAAAUAUUAUCUAAAAUAAAUCAUAAUUUGGUUGAUCACAAAUGAAACAUUGUUGUAGUUCAUCGAAUCUAUAUAAAAGUAUGAAUUUAUAUAAAAGAAAGAUAUUUACAAUAUAAAAAAUCAAUUGAAUGAAUUUAUUAUUAUUUUUUAAGAAAGAUUUACUAUUUCAUAAAUAUACACACAUAAAAUGAUUAUUAUUAUUUUUACUAAAGCUAAAUUAUAAGUCACUGCAAAAAAAAAUAAAAAAUUGCUCACUAAUAACAUAUUUUUGCAUUCCAAUUUAAUUCAUAAAAAAUGUAUUGGUCAAGUGGUUUGGGAAACCAUUUCAAAUAAGUGGGUGUGUUUAAGUUCGAUUCCCACGAGUGAUAAUUUUAAUUUUUAAUGAUUUUUGCCAAAUUGUCCAUGAGUUUUUAAAGGUAAUUUAGAAAAAACCAAAAAUAAAUUAUAGGAAAACCUGUUCCCGCUCGUGUAUUCCUAAGGUAACGGUUACAACUUCCAAGUCUCUUGUACUUGUGCACUCUUGCUACAAUCUUAAAAUUCUUUUCAAAUCUUUUUCAUGGAUUCUCUUCUACUUCCAGGUAAUAUCAAAUCUAACUUUUUUUUUUUUUUUCCUGUUAUGAUCAAUCCAAUUAAUAUAAUCAUCCCUUUUCAUUCCUAAGAGUUUAUUUUAAUUAUAUGUUAACAGAAAAAACCAACGACGAUUCCAAACCAAAAAUGAAACAAAAGCGCAACAAGGCAACCAAAAUGGGCAUGGGUAGAGAAACACAGACUCAAUUCAGGUAACUAACAUAUUUUAUAAUUCAUCAAUUCCACCAUGCUUAUAGAUUAUAAUAAAGAUUCGUGACUCCGACAACAAUAUAAAAGUUUUUUAUGUUGUCAAAAUUGAAGUAACAUCGGCCUUAUUUGAUUACGAUAUAUUCUCCACAAUAUAAAAGAUUGUGAUGCCACUGUUAUUUAAAUUAUUCAAGUUGUUAGUAGUAUGUAAUCCAGACAACAUUCUUACAAUCGGCACAUUGGUGGCCUUGAAUCGAGAUAGAGCGGUUCAAAUUUCAAAAUCAGCAUUUUAGUUCUUAAAAAAUAAAAACAAAAAAAAAUUUGAACCCUUCGAUUUUGAUCCUAUUUGCAAAAUGUGUAAAUGUAGAGGAUUGACGACCAGAGGCAAUCUGAAUUCUAUUUAAAAUCAUGAAUUCCUUUACAUUGUUAUUUGAUUUUUUUCUCAAUUUCCAUUCUCUAUUUUUGUUUCAGACAAAACCGAGCUUUCGGUACCCCUUGGAACACAAACGAUAACAUUCCGAAAAAGCCCAUUUCGGACAACAUUACCACCAAACCAAAACCUGCAGUUCCACAUAAACAACCCAAACAACCAAUUCCAGCAACACAAGUUCCCACUGAAAUCACCACUUUAACACAACCUAAUGAUAAAAAAUCACCAGAAAAUGUCAAGCCCAUAAAGAACAAGAAGAGUGACACAUUCCCACAAAAGUUGGCAGAAAAAGCAAUGUUAAAGGAAAGUGAUUCUGCAGAGGAGCCUAAAACUCCAGCAACAACUUCUCAUGGUAGAGGCAAGAGUAAAGUGCAAGCUACACCGUUUUACAGCGCAGUAAAUUGUAGCAAAUGUCGUUUUGAUAAGCUUGAGACUUCAUCUUAUUGGAUUGGACAAAUCAAAUUGGCAGAGUCUGUUGGGAAACACUUUGUUGCCUCUGGAUUCUUCAAGCUUGCUUUGAAAUCUCAGGCUGAGGUUUGUGUUUCUUUAUCACAAAGUUUAUUUGUGUUUGAAUUUAGAGAAAUUUUCAAUAUUGUGAUGACUGAAUACCACAAAACUUAACUAUUCAAAGUUAGAUAUGUCAUGAACAUGUGUUUAUAAACAGGAAAUAAUAUUUGUGACCUUACAAGUUGAUUUUGUGCGGUUUGAGUUGGAACAAACUCAAAUUCUUAGACGGUAUAAGAGUUAGCUUCAAAAUUUGUUGGACUACCUCCUAUCCGGUUACCGUUGUUGAGCCACUCGAGGUCACACUACAUAUAUUUAAUUUUAGGUGUGAAGGAAGGUAUAUUAUGAGUUCCAUACGCAUUAAUUAUUAAUAUUUUAGUAAAGAUUAAUUAAUGCAAUUCAAAAUUUAAGAGAGUCGUGCAUAAAGUACAAGAAAUUUCUCUAGAUCUGACAUGUAAAUAUGGAGGUUGUAAUUUAGGGCUUACGAUUAUUAUUUGAGGACACAAGCUAGCAUCAAACAAGUGCUUAUAACUUUGGUGCUAACUUCUCUGAAAAACUACUUUGGUGCUAACAAGUUUUGGCUAGUUGGUUCGUGACUUGAGUUAUGUAUACGAUUUUUUUUUUUUUUUGUUGGUGGUCGGGGUUUGAACCCCAGACCUUACAUAUAUUAUGCAUUGUUCCUACCAACUAAGCUAAACUCACGAGGACAGUUAUGUAUACAAUUAAAAAAUAUGAUUAGUUUUAAUAACUUUUUUUUUGUGAUGUUUGAUUUGAUAUUUGGUGUGUUGGUUAGUCUAUUAGGAACCUUCGGAUUGAGCUUAAAAGGUAUUUGUCAAGGCAUGGGCACCUCUCCGACCACAUGAAUCAUGAUUCAUGAUGUAUUACAUGCAGGAAAAAUGAAAGUGAAAUGAGUAUAAUUAAUCUGUACUUGAAAAUAACAAAUACACAUAUAUUCAAAACUCUUACGCAUUCGGUUAUUGUACUCUUGCUUAUGCAUUUCAAUCUUAUAUAAUUUUGUGGUUUAAUCUCUCUUUAAUGGUGUGAUUGGUUUCAAUCUUAUAUAAUCUACAUUCUUCCAUUCUGAAACUCUGGCAAUGGUUCAGAGUUGGAUAUGGAUCUGUGAGAUUCGUUUUUGUUUCUAUCACCAUGGUUUUUACGCUCAUAUUUCUGCAGUAGAGAUAAACUCAAUUUCUUCUUCUCCUUCUUCAGUUUCAUUUUGGUUGUCUUUAACAUAUUUCUAUUGCAAAUUCUCUCUGAUAGUUUUUGUAAUGAUGCUUUAAGAGCAAGAGAGGCUUGAGUUUGCUGUGUAUUACUAGUGGUUGUGAGAGUAGAGUAAUAUUGUUGGGUGGAAGGGAAAUAAGUCACGGGAGGGUUUCGAGAUCUCAAUAAAAGAACCAAUUGUUAGAGAAGUAGAACUACUUUACUGAAAAUAAAAGAAACAAAGCAGUAAAACAGUAAAUAAUAAAGAAAGAAAAAUUAACUAAAGAAAAUAAAAUAACAUUUGGAUUCAUUUCAUUCCUUUAGAUGGUUUGUCAAAGACACUACAUAUAGGAUUGCUAUUGGAUAAUAAGAAGAUUGUCGUUGACACUUCUACUUUGGGCUGAAAAACACAAGUGAAAGACGAAAAUGUCUGUUGGCAAUUAACUGUCGCCGAUUAAAACACAUAAGUAAUAUUAUCAUGGCUCACGUUCUUUAUCAACUAAGUGGGAAAAGCAUGUGGAACUAUAGUCCCACAUAGCUCCAAUGUAGAUUCGCCCAUGCAGUGGAGCAAAUUAAGGUGGUUUCUUAGUAUGAAUAGGUUGAAAAUUCAUAUUUGUUUAUUCUAUGACUGGUGUUGGAAUCCAAUGGAUAGUUUAACUAGAUCAUUUUUUGAUAGGGGUUGUGUUUUGGGUGUGAUAGGCGAACCGUGUUUGGUUAGGGCUUGUUAUGGGUGUCACUUUUGUUUUGCGGAACUUAGGCUUUGUUUGUGAGUUUGGAGGGGAGAGGAAGGGAAGGCUUUGAGAGGUGGAAAAUAUGAGGGAAAAUUGAGAAAUAUGAUUUAAAUUUUUUAAACGAGUAGUUUUUUAGAGAAGGGUUUAGUAUUAUGAAGAAAAGUUAACCCCCAAAACUCUCCCCUCCCAUUUUUCUCUAUUUUUGCCACUGCUCAUUCCUUUUUUCCCUCCAGCUUGUUGAUAAUAAUAUAUGUUGAUUAAAAAAAACAGGAAUUGUUAGUAGUCUGCAAAUCAAAGAUCAAUACUAAAUGCAGAUACUUUAGUGUGAUAAUACCCUACCAUUAACCUUGAAUACAAAUUAAUCAGCUCUUACGUUCCGUAUAUUGCCAAUGAAUCUAAUAACUUUCUCAAAAAUAAAAUAGAAUAACAACUUAAACACAAAUACAGGAAUAUCCCAAAUCAGGACCCAUUUUGCAAAGUCUUGCUAACCUCAAAAUUUCCCUGUUAUAAUAAGAAACAAGUUUAUUUAUUUAUUUCUUAAUUAUAUCAUAAUAUUUGUACGAAGUUUUCACUGCAUGUUAGCAGUGAUUAAUCUCCGUCGAGGAACUUAUUAGACACACAAGAUAGAUUUUUCUUUCCAUCUAGAUUUUAUUCCAUACGCAUGAGCCAAAAAUUAUAUUGAACCCCUAAUCAGAUACUUAAGGGGUUUAAAUCUUUUACUACUUAAACCAAUUCAUUCCUGGUAACUAGUUUAAUUUAUAUUAAAUGAGAACUGAUAACAGAAUCAUUAAAAGAAGUGCGAAGAUAAAACAUGCAUUCCCAUCCAUAGUUAAUAUGGUUACACCAUAGUUAAUAGAAUUUGCCAUCUUAUAAAAUAAAUUGUAAAUACAUUUGUUUUAAAUCCUCUUAUAAAAAGAAAUUGUAAAUACAUUUGUUUUAAUUCAAAAAUCAUAUUUUAAAAUUUGAGGGUAUCAAAUACAAUUUCCACAUUGAUUAUGCUAUAAUUGUAAUAUAAAUUUUUGUUAACAAAAAAGAUCGUCCUAUCUUGUUUUUUAUUUAUAAUAAAAGUUGUCACAUCUUUGAUUUGUAAUAUAUACCAAUAUUUGUUUUUAUCAUUCAUUAUAUUUGUUGUCUUUUGGGAUUUUAUUUAUUAAAAAAAGGUUAAAAUAUAAAUAAAAACCUUUAAUGAACUUUCAUGAUCUUCAAAGAUUUUUGUUUGAUAUGUUUUUUAAGGUUAAGUAAUCAAUUGAGUGAUGUAAAAGAUGAACACGAUAUAUUAAUUAAAAACAUUUAAUAUUAAUUUCAAUUUUAUAAAUGACUUUUUUUUAAAAGAAAUUUUAAAUGACUUCUUGUAACUCCUAAAUGCUAAAUAAAAUUUAAUUGAAGCUAUUUCAGAACAUUAAAUUUUUAGUUAUAAAAGGGAUCAAACUUUUGUUUAUUUAUAACAUGCAAAGGAUGGAACAUAUGACUAAAAUUCAAUUUUGUGUUUAUGUUUUGAUCAUAUUUCUGUCUUUAUUUCUUGUUGUAACUUGUGGUAUGUCACUUUUACACCAUUUCAUAUUAACAAAAUUUUAUCAUUUUUAGUAACAUUCUCUUUGCUCAUCUGACAUUGCAGGUAAAGUUUACGAAUGUUAUAAUUACAUUGAUUGUCCAGUUGGUUGUCGCGCCUGUUAUAUGAGGUGCAUUGAUGGCCAGUGUAUUCCGUUUAUUAAAAAACUUAUAUUAUUUCAUUUGUACGUCAUAGUAGAGUAAGUAUUUGUAUUUUUAUAUAAUUUACCUCAAAGUUUGAUUUAUAAUUCUCAUUUUUUUUUAAGGUUAAAUAUGUUUUUAGUACUUAUAAAUGUGUCAACUUUUUGUUUUAGUUUCUCUAAAAUUUUCCUUCAACUUUUAGUCCCUAUAAAAUUUUCAAUCUUUACUUUUGGUCUCUCUUUUAAAGUAAACUCAUACGUAUAGAAUUCAUAUUUUUUAAUAAAAGUAUUCAGAAAAAUUCAUAAUAUUAUAAGAAUCACUCCAAAAAUAAAUUAGAAUUGUUUAACCAAACAUGAAUUUAAUAUGAAUUUUAAUAUUUUUGAAGGUUAAAAAUUCAUAUUUAAUUUGUGUUUUGUUAAAAAAUUCUAUUUUUUUUUAGAAAUUUUUUUUUGAAUAUUUUACACAUUUCUGCACAAUUUCAUUAAAAAAAUACAAAAAUUAAAUUAAAAAUAGGGACCAAAAGUAAUGAUUGAAAAUUUUAUAGGGACUAAAAGUUGAAGGAAAAAGUUUUGAGGGACUAAAACGAAAUAUUGACAUAUUUAUAGGGACAAAAAACAUAUUUAACCUUUUUUUUAUAUGCAUAAUGAUUUAUGUUUCUCUCGUAUUCUUGUAUAAUUAUAACUACUUUAAUAAAAAAAAAAUGAUUAUGAAGAUUAAUUAUUUAUUCUACUUCUAUGCUUGAUAUUCCUCUCACUCAAAUGACAUGUCACGAAAAACCUAUGAAAUUUUACUUUGCCACUUACAACCACCAAACGAUGAAGAUCAAAACGAGGUAUUCAGCGAACGCAAACAUUAAAUCAUAAAAGCGACGAGAUGUUUUUACAGUGACCAAAGCGAUGAUGAUGGAUUUCUCAAGUUAGGUCGUAGGGUACUGAUUUUAAAUUGUGUUAGUGUUGGUGUUGGGCUUUAGUGUUGUAGGUAUUGUGAAAGAAGAUUACACUACUUAAAAAACAAAAAUUAGUGAGGGAUAUUUAGUGAGGGAAAACAUGAAAUUCCUCUCUAAUUCCGGCACUAAAUUUUGCGACCAAGGAAUUUAUGAGGAAUUUCAUUUUUUCCGUCACUAAUUUCCCUCGCUAAUUUUGCUUUUUCUAGUAGUGGUUAAUGAUCGUGAUCUCUAAAAACAUCAAGUUGCUUCUGUAUAUGUUUACAUCUUUUGUCCUUGUUCUACAGUGACAAAAAUCCCUAAUUUGUUCAAAACUAAUAUUCUUAAUUAAAUUUUAGAUAUAAAAAUUAAAGUUCAUUUUUAAAAUACUCCAUAGAGUAAUAGCACCUACAUAGAGAAAAGAUGAUAUUAAAGUCACGACUCAAUUCUUAAUCGAAACUAAUCAAACAGAAAAAGAGCCAAGUUUGUGAUGUGAAAAUUGGUGAAGCCAUAGGUCUAAUUUAUAGUAAUUUUUAGAGGGUAAUUUGGUAAACUAAAUGGAUCUAAUUUGGCAUGAGAGUAAUUGCACGCGGUCGUUUUUAAUUUUCGGUUACAUAUAUUCUCUAACAUAAGUCUUACUAUUUUUUCUGUCCUUUUUAAUCAGUUUUAUUUCAUCAAUUUGCUAUUUUUUCGGUUGACUACUAUAUGCAUCCCUUACAUAUGGUCUUUCCUUUUUCUUUUUUCUUUGAGGGGAAGGUUUUUCCUUAUUAUUAAGGAAAAUCAAAUCAUAUUGUGUUUAAUUGUUUUAAUGCCACCUUGAAUAAAUUAUCUUUGACAUAAUUACAACCAAAUCAAUUGUUUCACAUCAUUUGUAAAAAAAUAAUUUGUCCAACAUCAUGAUUAUUAUUAAACUGGUGCUAGUCACACCCCAAAAAAAACAAGUUACACCCGAAUUUAUUUAAAAUUUUACAAUAAUACCAAAAUUGCCCUCUUCAUGUAAAUUUUUAAAAAUCCAUCUUUUAUGAUCAUUCUGAACCCUUAUCCCCUUUCAUCCACAAAUCACCAUAGAUGUGCAACCAAUAUCUGAAUCAACAUCUUUGUUAUUGAUCUGUACUAUAUUCAUAAAGGUUAGUGAAUUUCAUGAAUUUUAUUUUCGAUGAGUUUCUAUUUGUUUAUUGUUUGUUUUGGUAUGAGAUAUGUUCAAUUUAGGUUAGUGUAAAUUAAGUUUACUUAUGUUCAAUUUAGGUUAAUGUAAAUUUAGUUUACUUAUGUCAAUGUAAAUUAAGUUUACUUAUGUUCAAUUUAGGUUAAUGUAAAUUUAGUUUACUUAUGUUUAAUCUAGGUUAAUGUAAAUUUAGUUUACUUACGUUCAAUUUAGGUUAGUGUAAAUUCAGUUUACAUGUAUAUAAGAGGUUAGUGUAAAUUCAGUUUACUUACGUUCAAUCUAGGUUAAUGUAAAUUAAGUUUACUUAUGUUCAAUCUAGGUUAAUGUAAAUUUAGUUUACUUAUGUUCAAUCUAGUUAAUGUAAAUUUAGUUUACUUAUGUUCAAUCUAGGUUAAUGUAAAUUUAGUUUACUUAUGUUCAAUUUAGGUUAAUGUAAAUUCAGUUUACUUACUUUCAAUGUUAAUGUAAAUUAAGUUUACUUAUAUUCAAUUUAGAUUAAUGUAAAUUAAGUUUACUUAUGUUCAAUUUAGGGGUAUAUUAGUCAUUCUGGGGUGUAACUUGUUUUUUUUGGGGUGUGACUAGCACCAGUCUUAUUAUUAUUAUAAAAAUAAAAAUUAAGAAAUGUAUAACAUGAUUUUUGUUUUGUUUUGAAUAAACACUAUUAUACGGUAUUAUUAUUAUACAAUAUACAUUUGAAAAUAGAAGCAAAAGUAUAUUACCUUAAAAAAAACAUAUUAAUUCAAAUUAUAUAAAAAAUUAAUGGUUAUUACCAUAUCUAAUUAAAAUUAUUUUAAAAAGUUACACUCUUAUCAAAUCAUAUUUUUAUUAUUUGACAUAUAUCAAUUAUUCCAUUUAAAUAAUUAUUUUAAAAAGUUACUUGUUUUAUCUUAGAAAUUAGGGAUUUUUUGGUUAGUGUGUUCAAUAAAAUGGAUUCUUUGUACCCACAUGUUUUAUUCCUUGUUUAUGGUUGAGCAUAGGGGGUACGUCUAAAACUGUCAUUUCUCUGCGUUUUUGGAGAAUAAAAUGGGGGGUAGGACGAAAAAUGCAACAAAAAUGAUAAUUGAAUGACCGUUUUGUUUUGUUUUAAAAAGGCAGGACAAUUUCGUCAGUAGGUCAAAACACGAGGACCAAAAGUGUAAUUAAGCCUUUUUAAUAUGAAAAAAAUACUUUUAGAGGAUAACAUUAGACUACGUUUUUUUUUCUACUGUUGUUAGAACCCACCAUUUGACAACACUUUUUUCUUUUAAGCUCAUUGACAACAAAUUUUUUCCUUUAAGUGUUGUUAUAAAGCUCAUUAGACUGCGUUUUCUUACAAAAAAGCGUUAUUAUAGAUAACUACAGACAGAGUUUCUUGCUAAAACGGCUUUAUAUAGCCUACCUUUUGGCAACACUUAUUUUUAGAAGAGUUGUCCUAGGCUUUUGUCUUCAGUUUUCCAAUUCUAUUUUUUUAAAAUUACAAGCAAAUAAAAAAACAAAUUAUCUUUGCAAACGGAUAUAAAUAUCAAGGAGUAAAUGGUCAAUUUUCUCCCUGAAAUUGUAAGUUUCAUCAAUUAUCCCCCUGAAAUUAACAAAACUUCAAGAUAUAAGCAUCCAGUUAGUGAUAGUAAUAUUAGGUCCAAUCACAACCUAAGUACCUAAUCUAGGGUUGCACCUAUCACAUAAAUAAAUUACUUCCUAAUAAAACUUAAUAACUAACAAAUAAAUAAAUUAAAUAAAAUAAAUGACAUAUUAAAAUAAAUAAAUAUUCAACAAAAAUAAACAGAGGUUCAUCUUAAAACUGUAACCUUAAAAAAUUUAGUUAAACAUGGUAACUAAAAACAAAUUACUAAAGAUAAAAACAUACCCUAGAAAAUCAAGGAGAAGAUAAAAACUCUCCUGAAGCUCCAAAGUUGCCUUCCUCUUGAACUGCCAUAGUUCUGAACGAGAAAUUCAUAAUGAGAAAGACUGGUAUUUAUCGUGAGAGUUACUAUCUGGGUUUGGGCUAAAACUACGGGUUAAAAGACGCUUGUGCCCCGCAUUUUCAGAUGCACGAGGCACAUUGCUCGUGUGCUAGGCGCAUGGGUGUAUGGCAAAAGCCAUGCCCUAGGCGCAUGGAUGCCUAUCCCAUGUGCUAGGCGCAUGACUCCUCAUCCUGGGCCCAAAUUUUCCGAUUCUCCGUCGUUUUAAGUCUUCGUUUUAAAAUAACUUGCCUAAGGACUUGGGAACAUAGUUGCUCCCAUUUGUAAGUCUUUUGAGGCCUCUUGAAUCUCCAUUAUUUGUUUCCUUGAAUCUUCAUAAUUCUUUAGAUGUUCUUGAUUUGCCAAUUUUCAUGAUUUCUUCGUGAAUUACUUCAAAACCCCCUAAAACUACUACGUUUCGGGAAAGCUAGAAUUACAUACUCAAAUAUAGAAAACAUUACAAAAAUCCUGAAAUCAUAGGCAAUCAUUCUAAUACUCCUCCUUUUUGCUGCUAAAACCUAAUGAAAAUAGCAGAAAAACAUGCUAAGAAUAAUGUAAGAUGACCUGUCAUCAGCAACAUGGAAAGCUUCUCUUCUUUCAAUGGUUGGAAGGGUUCAACUAGUGAAAUAUGUUAUUCCAUCAAUGUUCGUUCAUUCUAUGUCAGUAUAUUCUUGGCCAACUAGACUGCUCAGGGAUUUAGAGAAGUAGAUCAAAAAAUUUAUCGGGAGUUCUGAUCUAAACAAAAGAAAAUCAGUCAUUGUUGCUUGGAAGAAGGUCGGUGUUCCUUAUACUGAAACUUCGUUGGGAUCUUUUACAUUCUGAAGAACAAUGGGCUUUUACAUUCCCUCAAUGAAGCAACUAACCUGAAACUUCGUUGGGAUCUUUUACAUUCUGGAGAACAAUGGGCUUGCAUACUGAUAGAUAUUUAGCAAGUGUACUAAUUCUCAAUUUAGCAAUAAGGUUAAUAUGUAGGAUGUGUAAAUUAUUUUAGUGCCCGAGGCAGUAUGUUUUGUGUGCAUAAAUGUAAAUAGACGGAAAAUAAAGAUUUUUUGGAAAAGAUAUAGAGAGAUGAGACUAGGUCUUUUGAAUCCUCUGAGUUUUCCUAUUUGGCACACUGUACCUAUUCCCUAUAAAUAUUUCUCUAAUUUAACGAUAGUUAACUAAAAUAGCCAUAAUCAAUCCCUUGACUUAGGACCCUCUUCUCAGAUUACAGUCCCUAAUUCCUUAGGUGAACUAAUAUUCUUCGAAGGUUUUAAGAACGUUAACCUAAUAUCGCAAAUAAACGAUUAUCCAUUCAUAGACUAACCCUGUUUAUUUGAACAAUUCAAUAAGGUCUAAGUUGAAAGCUAUGGUCAGUAAUCAUUCAUUCUCACGAAUUCAUGUUAUAUGUGAUCAGUAUAUAAAAAUCAUUAAUAACAAUUGAAUUGAAUCAAAACUAUAUUGAUAUUCAUAUAUGAAACAGAGUUUCACAACAACAUGAUUAGGUAUUUAGGUUGUGACAAGACUUAAUAUUGUUAUUACUAUAUGGAUGCUCAUAUUUUGAUAUUUAUAUCCUUAUACUAAUAACUACAUAUUUAGGAAGCAAGUGAUUAGUAAACUAGACGAAAGAUGCCGAAAGCAAGUUGACCGUAGUAGUAAGUACUAAGGAGGUAACAUUACUAAUACUGAGUAAAAUAUGUUGAACCUAGGAUGUAAGUAGUUUAGUAAUUAGGGAAACAAUCACCAAAGGGAAUAAACCUAGUAAGACCAUUGUCCUCGACCUCUAAGUAAGGUAGACGCUGAUAGGGCUACCCGUUUGUUGAACUAUCUAGGGGGAAGGAGAGUGUGUUAUGAGUGUCCUAAAAUUUUCAUUGCGUUUGUAAUAAAUAUUAGAAAACCAAUUUAAGUUUAUGUUUCAAUUACCUUUGAAUUAGCAAGACCUCGCACGUGUGGAUCACUGUGCAAUCUGCAGACGCAAUUAGCCAUCGAAGGGAUAGACCUAGAUCAACCGAGAUAGUAUAGACCCUGCACGUAAGGAUCACCGUGCGAUCAACAUGUGCAACUUGACAACCGACAAGGUUAGAACGUCCCAGCAACCUCAUCACUUGUAUAGUCUAGUCUACAUAAGAUAACUAAAUAUGGCAUGACUGUUAUUUAAUAUCCAACAAAAUAAAUAGGGGGAUUUAAAGAGUCAUAACUGCUGCUUACUUUUCUGCAACCAAAACAUGUAAAUUGUUCUCUUGCAAACUGUCGCGUCAUUUUUCGGAGAUCAAGGCUAUUUGAUUAGCUUUUGACUCACUAAUUAUUUCAUGACUGAACAUUUUAUUUUUUAAGAAAAAGGGAAAAAAAGUUCAAACCACCCCAUAUUGAAAAGAUUUAGGGUUCGGGGGUUGGUUACAUAAAGGGAAGGUGUUAGCACCCUUUAUGUCCAUAGUACUCUACGGGAACCUCUUGGUUUUAUUUAAUUUAAUGCGCUAUAACUUGCUUGCUUUUAAAAAUAAAAAAAAAAGUUAAUGCGAUGAUUAAAAGAAAAGAAGAAAGUGAGACCUAAUUUAUCUACAUUUUUAUUGAUUUGAAAGGACAUAGUCCUCUGCCUACGUACCCAUGAGGGAUCAAAACCUCGUAGUUCAGGGUAGAAAUUGACGUUUGAUUUGUUGAGUGUUUUUU